rnacentral:rRNA from 1 species
GGCAGACGGGUGAGUAACAUGUACGUAUCUACCCUUUGGCCUGGAAUAACACGAGGAAACUUGUGCUAAUACCGGAUAAGUCUUUACGGAGAAAGCUUUAUGCACCAUUGGAUGAGCCUGCACUUGAUUAGUUUGUUGGUGGGGUAAUGGCCUACCAAGACUGUGAUCAAUAGCUGAUUUGAGAGGAUGAUCAGCCACAUUGGGACUGAGACACGGCCCAAACUCCUACGGGAGGCAGCAGUGGGGAAUCUUGCACAAUGGAGGAAACUCUGAUGCAGCGAUGCCGCGUGAGUGAAGAAGGCCUUUGGGUUGUAAAGCUCUUUCGUCGGGGAAGAAGAUGACUGUACCCGAAUAAGAAGGUCCGGCUAACUUCGUGCCAGCAGCCGCGGUAAUACGAAGGGACCUAGCGUAGUUCGGAAUUACUGGGCUUAAAGAGUUCGUAGGUGGUUGAAAAAGUUGGUGGUGAAAUCCCAGAGCUUAACUCUGGAACUGCCAUCAAAACUUUUCAGCUAGAGUUUGAUAGAGGAAAGCAGAAUUUCUAGUGUAGAGGUGAAAUUCGUAGAUAUUAGAAAGAAUACCAAUUGCGAAGGCAGCUUUCUGGAUCAUUACUGACACUGAGGAACGAAAGCAUGGGUAGCGAAGAGGAUUAGAUACCCUCGUAGUCCAUGCCGUAAACGAUGUGUGUUAGACGUUGGAAAUUUAUUUUCAGUGUCGCAGCGAAAGCGAUAAACACAC